rnacentral:rRNA from 1 species
GACAGAGGGUGCAAGCGUUAAUCGGAAUUACUGGGCGUAAAGCGCUCGUAGGUGGCUAAUUAAGCCGGAUGUAAAAUCCCCGGGCUCAACCUGGGAAUGCCAUUCGGGACUGUUUAGCUAGAAUUAGGUAGAGGAAAGUGGAAUUUCCGGUGUAGCGGUGAAAUGCGUAGAUAUCGGAAGGAACACCAGUGGCGAAGGCGACUUUCUGGACCUAAAUUGACACUGAGGAGCGAAAGCGUGGGUAGCAAACAGG